rnacentral:rRNA from 1 species
GUGGGGAAUAUUGGACAAUGGGCGAAAGCCUGAUCCAGCCAUGCCGCGUGUGUGAAGAAGGUCUUCGGAUUGUAAAGCACUUUAAGUUGGGAGGAAGGGCAGUAAGUUAAUACCUUGCUGUUUUGACGUUACCAACAGAAUAAGCACCGGCUAACUUCGUGCCAGCAGCCGCGGUAAUACGAAGGGUGCAAGCGUUAAUCGGAAUUACUGGGCGUAAAGCGCGCGUAGGUGGUUCAGCAAGUUGAAGGUGAAAUCCCCGGGCUCAACCUGGGAACUGCCUCCAAAACUACUGAGCUAGAGUACGGUAGAGGGUAGUGGAAUUUCCUGUGUAGCGGUGAAGUGCGUAGAUAUAGGAAGGAACACCAGUGGCGAAGGCGACUACCUGGACUGAUACUGACACUGAGGUGCGAAAGCGUGGGGAGCAAACAGGAUUAGAUACCCCGGUAGUCC